CUCAUUGAACUACGUUGGUGGUAGAAUAGAAAAUAAAAAUAGUCUAUGUUUUACGGCUGCUGACGGAUCAUGUUUUGAAGUGGGCAGAAACUGAAUGUGUUAUUUUUUGUGAUGAGUGUUCGUGUUAUUUGUAAGAAUGCCAAUCCAGGCGCCUCAGUGGACGGACUACCUGAAUUGUCCGGUGUGCUGCCGAGAGUUCGGGCCGCCGCCGCGGAGCCCUAUCAGCCUCGGUUGCGGCCACACACUAUGUAGACAUUGUCUCAAACACCUGCACAGGAAACAAUGUCCAUUCGAUCAAGCCGUGAUCCAAGUGGAUCCAGAGGAGCUGGUGGUGAACACGGCACUGCUCCAGCUGGCCGGGUACCCUCCCCCCGCGCAGCCCUACCACCCCCCGUGCAUCCAGGCGCUCCCGGAAGCGGACCGGCAGGCCUACGAUGUGAUCGUGAGGAGUAUGGAGCACCUGGCUGUGUAUCUCAAGUUCUGCGGGAAUGCUAACAGCACGGGUAGCCGUUUGUCCCGGCCGAUGCAACGCAAACUUGUGACGUUACUGCAAUGCGCAGUGACAGACGAGGAGGGGAGGGGGCGGGCUGCGCGCGCGGCGAGAUCUUUGGGGGAGAGGACUGUCACCGAACUAAUAUUGCAACAUCAGAAUCCCCAGCAGCUCAGCGCCAAUUUGUGGGCGGCGGUGCGCGCGCGCGGGUGUCAGUUCCUCGGGCCCGCGAUGCAGGAGGAGGUUCUCAAACUGGUGCUGUUGGCACUUGAGGAUGGAUCAGCGCUGUCCAGGAAGGUGUUAGUGAUGUUUGUAGUCCAAAGAUUGGAGCCUCAUUUCCCGCAGGCUUCCAAAACUAGUAUAGGCCAUGUCGUGCAACUCUUGUACAGGGCUUCUUGUUUUAAGGUGUCGAAACGGGAAUGCGACUCGUCCCUAAUGCAACUGAAAGAGGAGUUCCGCACAUACGAGUCUUUACGUCGAGAACACGACGCCCAAAUAGUUCAGAUAGCCACCGAGGCGGGUCUGAGAAUAGCCCCCGACCAAUGGAGUGCUUUACUCUAUGGUGACACUGCGCAUAAAAGUCAUAUGCAGAGUAUAAUAGACAAAUUGCAGACGCCACAGUCGUUUGCGCAGUCUGUGCAGGAGUUGUUCAUAGCGUUGCAGAGGACGGGUGAUCCUGCGCAGCUGGGUGUCAUGAGCAGGCAUUUGGACAGGCUCGCGGGCAUCGAUUCUAGUCCAGACGCAAAGAGUCCGAUGUGGAAGCAGUUGGCAGACGUGAUGAGCUCCUUGAAGGAGGUGGUCUCCGGGCUCAUACACUACCUCCAGCAGCAGGCCACGGGCCGGGACUCGAACCACAACCACAAGGAGAGAAUUGAACCCACUACCAGUCAACCAUCGCCACAAACAGCAGCGUCCACACCGACCCAUACUAAAUACAAGGUGUCAAUGUGUCGGGACGCGGCGACGAGAUCUUUCUGUCCCCGGGGGAACACAUGCACAUUCGCGCACUCCGAGGAGGAACUCGAGAGGUAUAGAUCCAUGCCGGGUCAGCCCACGAACGGCAACUUCGCGUACAUGCCGAGCAUGCCGGCCGGCAUGGUGGCGGGGGGGGUGCCCCAGCUGCCGCUGCCGCCCCAGGCCAUCUACCCGAGGUUCCCAAUGCCCCAUCACCAUCUGGACAACUAUAAUGUGCCACCAAUGCCCACCAAUCAGCCUCAUCCAGAGCUGAUCCAAAAUCCGGAGUUCCCGGCCUCCGACACGCCGCACAACGUCGACGCAGUUCUGUCACCCACGAACUACACAUCAUCACUGAUCCACAACCAGCCAAUGAACCUUAACCAGAACGGUAUCAUGAUACCUGUACCGGAGCGGCCGUUCUACGGCCGUUACAACAAUAUAAUGCCGCCCGAUGAUGUACCGAACAACAUCCCGUAUAGAGAGUUCCCCGUCUAUCCGGUGCAAGCGUACCCGAUAGAUAAUAUGCCGAUACAGAAUCUGUUUGUGCCGAUAAAGCACGAACAGAAUAGAAAUGCGAGCCCGUAUUCGUUUGAUGACGCGGUGCCAUCAGAGGACUACCUGCUCUCGGAGUACCGCAUGAAAGCCGCCAGCUUCCCGGCGCCCGCCGAGCGCAGGGCCGACUGGGCGCCUAAUUCUAACGACAUAUUUUCGAUGAGGCACGCCAUACCACAUUGUUCGUCCACUUCCGAAGACAUGUUCAACGUUUCGGGCGACCGUUUAGCGGUCGGCACAGACCGUCUGAUCGCGAUGACCGACCGGCUAUCGGUCAACGACACUUUCCGGGCGGACGACCAAGAGCUCGAGAAAGAAUUGCAGGCGUUGGAGCGUCGGAUAGACACAGAGUUUGAGAGCACCGACUAACGCCCGCGUUGCAACCGUACACACGGGCCGCUUCCGACCGGUCCGGACCGGUUCAAACCGGUCUUAACUGGUUCAAUGAACGGAGGUGAGACCGUCUCGGUAUACGCAGCGGCAGGACGAACGCGUCGGCCUCGAAAUAAGACUGGACAACCGGCUGUAACCGGUUCAAAAACCGGCUCGAACCGGUUCGUGAAUACCAAAGUUUAUAAGUUUCGAGGCGUGCUAAUGUGCGGAUAUGUACGCUUCCCGAGAUCGCGUGGAACGACGAUCUGAGCUCAACAUUUGAAUUUAUCAUUAUAUUUACUUCCAUAUUUAAAAGAAAAAAGUAUGAUAUUUUUUUUUAAACCUAUAAUACUACCUAAUUUAUUGUUUUUUUUUUAUAUGAGAUUUUUGUUAUUGAUCUGUGCUUUUUAAAAAAAGAUUAUUAUUCUUAUUGAUGUAACACAAUUUUGACGUUCGCAAGUCGUGUGCGAGUCAUUAACACUAAUAUAUAUCUUAUAAAUAUACCUUCCUAUACAGUUAAAUACAAUGUUUAACGGACAUUUAAAUUUAUAUUAAACAGGGUUAUUUCUGAUAACUGGCCGAUAUUUUUAGUACAAUUUCCAAUAGACUUUGUAAAGAAUUUGGACAUAGAUUUUGACUUUCAAUAGUAAGACAAAAUUGUUUUUUUUUUAUGAGACCUGCUGAAAAUUUGGCCAGUGUUUUCUUUUUUUUUAAAUCCUGUACACAUCACAUUAUUAUUUACCGCGUGGCUUUCGUAAUACAUUCAGAUAACUUGUUUACGAUUAACAAGGCCGUCGCGAGAUUUAAAGAAUAAUCUUACCAUUCUGUUGAUAACACAUUUAGUUUAAUAUCAAAUAUUGAUCGAUAUAUUGUAUCAAAUAAUAUCGGCAAUAAAAAUAUCCUACUUUCCACAUCACUUUAAAUUAUAUAUACCUACCUAUUUAUUAUGAUAUCAACUGGCCAAAGGCCAUCAUAAAAUAUAUUAUGUAUAUAUAUUUUUCCAAAAUUUCCACGUUUGAUCGAAAACAGAGGGAAUACAUAUAUCAUUUUUUUAUACUAGCUAUAAUGAAUGAAGUUUUGUAAAUAGAUAAUGAUAGUUACGUAUUUAUAUAUGUGGAUUAAUCUGGCGGGUUUGGUUCGUCUAGUUGUACUAUGUGAUAAAUAAAAGAGCGGCAGAGCAAAGGUUUUAUAAUUUGUGGAAGUCAUCUUGGAUGUGUUCAGAAAUUGUGGCGUGCGCAGGAUUAUGACGGAAAUGGUGUAAUGAGUUAUACAGGGUGUCUGGUGAAUCGCGUUGAAUAUUGAAAGGGGACACUCUGUAUACGAUUCUCGUUGCAAAUAAUCUGAAAAAAUAAGUAGGGUGUUGAAAUUUUCAUAAUUUAUCAUCACAUACUUUACGUUAAGAAUUUAGUGUUUUGAAAUUAAAAUACCGGUUGGAAUAUGCGUUUCAGUAAAGAUUUUGAUAUUACAUCACAAAUAGGAGAAUGCAAGUGGUUAGUUUUAGAAAUCAGGGAAGACAAAAAAAAGAAGAUUAAUUACAUUAUAGAAGAAUUACAUUACAUUAUGGAAGAUGAUGAUACGGCGUAGUGAAUGAACAUACCUUCUGAACUUGGGUAUUGUGUGGUAAAAUUUAGAUUCUGACCAGUAUUUACCUGUUCGAUUAUUUUGUUCUUACAUUUGGAAAGCAUCACAUUAAGAACACGAUUACAAUUACAGUUUUUUUUUUUUACCAUGAUCCAAAACGGGUUAGGUUCCCCUGCAAAGGUUGCGUAGGUCAGGCGGGAGUCGCUUCGUGUUAAAACCUGACUCACCCAAUCCGGGGUCGUGGUUAUAAAGCUUAACCCGGGCUCCUCUCCAGAGAGGUUAUGAGGGAAAGAGAAAAAAAAUAUUUUCAAAAUAGGAUAAAAUGUGACGACAACACAAUUAAGGUAUAAUUGUAUUUGUUUCCAUCAUAAAGCCAAGCUGAACGUGGCCACUCAGUCAUUUCAAGACUGUUGGCACUGUCUACCCCGCAUGGAAUACAGGGACGUGACUGUUUGUGUGUGCGUGUGUAUAUAUAUGUUUCCGCUUGCAAAGCGCAGAGACUAAAGCGAAAGAGAACAUUAUUAUGUCCCUCUCACAUUUUAAAAGCAGUUAUUUGAAAAUAACUACACUAUUUCCAUUAUAAACCUACGCGCGAUAAAUUGUAAAACAAAACGUGUGCCUUGACGAACUGAACGGGAGGGAAAUUAUAUUUUUUACUACAAGCCUGGUCGUCACGUACGGAACGGUAGCGGGUGAAUCGUCUCGUUCGGACUUAAGUCUCGACAUAUAUCUGCCCUGUUACAGUAUGAGAGAUAGCUGUGCAUUUGGUCACUUUUGCUUUAUACAAUUGUAAUUAUUUUUUUUGUACUAACAAUAGUAGUGAAUAUGAAAAUAUUAACGACAUAUAGUCGCAUGUCAGUAAAAAAAAAUUUACACCCUGUAUAGUCUCUUUAGAUGGUCUGGGAUCUUUUUUAAUUUUAACCUUUCGAGCCACAAAUAGGUUGGAUUCCCGAUCAGUUCAGGAUAUAACGAACGGUUUCUGAUUGGCUAGGUCUUAGAUGUUUAUCUUCCUUUGUUUGACGGCCUCUGUGGCGCAGCGGUAAUACGCUUGUCUGUGACAUCAGAGGUCCCGGGUUCGAAUCCAGGUCAGGGCGUGAUGAGAAACGAACUUUCUCUGGUCUGGUUUGGUCUGGGUCUUGGAUGUCAGAUCUAUAUAAGUAUUUAUUAUAGAAUAUAGUAUCGUUGAAUUAGUAUCUCGUAACACAAGUCUCGAACUCACUUCGAGGCAAAGUCAAUCUGUGUAAUUUGUCCCGUAUAUAUUUUUAUUUAUAUAAUAUAUAUAUAAGACUACACAGAUAUAUCUAUAUGAGCACUGUUGUAUUAUCAUCACAUGACACAACUCCUUAGCUUACAUUUGGUGCUAUCCAUUCGUAUGAUUUGUCCCUUAUGUUAACAUACAGUUCUCUAUACUCUCUGUUUACGACAUCAGCCUUCCAGCUUUAGUUACCAAAUGUGCAUCUGUCUGUUGAAACAUUAGAAUAAUUAAUCUAAGGACACGGCCUAAUCCGGCUGUUACGUUUUGUGAUCCGUCGCUAGAUAACACGAUAUAUAAUUGGAUAUAUGUGGGAGAAGUUUUAUUUAAAUCCUUUUUGUUAGCUGACAUCUUACUUAUUUUUACGCUGGCAACAUUAAGAGAUAGGACAGCGAGUCUGUGGUACAAUGUAAGACGUUAUAAGAUGUGUUUUUAACAAGUCCAAUAAAAAUAAGAAGAUUUACGAUAUAAUUCCGCACUGUUUUACUUUCAUUCCCACAUAUAUAUAUAGAUGCGAUGUUUGCAAAGGAAUAUUCUAAAUAUAAGCAUAGACCGUAAUACUUAUAUUAAAAUACAGCCUUGGCCAAAAGUUUUAGGCACCCCUUAAAAAUACACAAUGCAUGUUUACUAUUGAAACAAUGAAUAAAUACUUAUCUUUAAUGUCUUGUCAGGGUCAUAAAACGUUACCUGGCACAGUAGGUGGCAUAUUUUGAGGUCAUGAAAAACCCUGGUCAACGAAAACAAAAGAUUUCAGUUUUUUGUAAUCUCAUCAGUGAUUAUAUGACCAGUUGUGUUCUAGACUUCAACUAGUAAACGAGCUGUAAUUUUUUUUGAGCGACAAAUUGACAUCAUAUUAAUUCUAAAAUGCCCAAAAAAAGUAAAAUUACUAUUGAAAAUCGAGUGACAAUUGAACUUUUACACGAACAAGGGCGAUCCCAGAAAGAAAUCGCCAAGUUGGUGAAAUGUUCGCGUUGCGCUGUACAGUCUGCCAUCAAACGGUUUGCCGAGACCGGUACCCACGACGACAAACCACGAGCAGGCCGAAAACGUGUGACUACGGAUCGCGAAGAUAGAAAAUUGGUUCGAGAGUCACUGAAAAAUAGGAAGAUAACUUCAUCCGCGCUUGCUGCUGCCUUGUCAGAUGAAGCUGGAAAGUCAAUAAGUUCGCGAACCGACACAAGAAGACUCGGGGAAGCAGGCCUAAAAGGGUGCAAAGCCAGGAAGAAGCCUAGGCUGUCAGAAACUAAUUAAAAGAAGCGCCUAGAAUAGCUUUACAGUACCAACAUUUCACAGAGGAAGAUUGGGCUAACGUGGUGUGGUCUGAUGAAUCUAACUUUAAGGUUUUUGGGACACCGGGUGUGACUUUUGUGAGGCGACGUAUGGGCGCAGAAUACCAUGCAGAUUGCGUUGUACCUACUGGCAAGCACGGCGGAGGUAGCAUUAUGAUCUGGGGCUGCAUGGCUGCCGAUGGCGUUGGUGAAAUGUUUGUUUGUGAAGGUCGUAUGAACAGUGAAAAGUACAUCCAAGUACUCAAAACUCCUCUUAUACCAUCGCUAAUAAGCAUUUACGGUGACACCAACCUAGACGGCGUCAUUUUUCAGCAAGACAACGCACCGUGUCAUAAGUCAGGGAUUGUGAUGCGUUGGUUUGUUGAAAAUAAUAUUGAGGUGCUGGAUUGGCCGAUGCAGUCUCCAGACCUCAACCCAAUUGAGCAUCUUUGGGGUAUUUUAAAGCAGAGGAUCAAGGAGCAUAGUAUUUCAUCAAAAAGUGCAUUAAAAAUGCAUUAGUUUAAGAAUGGAACAGUAUUUCUAGGAAUGAGUGUACAAAGUUAGUACGCAGCAUGCCGGCUCGAAUCAGUGCAGUAAUAAAAUCUAAAGGUGGACCUACUAGAUUUUAAGCUUUUCUUGUUUAUAUUAACCUAAUAAUUAAGAAAUAAAUAAAUAUAGAAAAUAAAAGUUGUUUUACUUCAUUAUUUUAAUAAAAGUUGGGGGUGCCUAAUACUUUUGGCCAAGGCUGUAGGUCGUGUUGGGUGAUCCGUAAUUAGUUUAGAAACAGGCUCCAAGGCUUCCCAAUGCCUAAAUUCUAUUUGGUUUAUGAUAUUACGCGACGAUUUUACAUAGUCAGAUUUGUGUGCUUAGAAGUGUAAAUGUUCGCUGUAAGAUAACUGUUACUGUGUAUUGGGUAAGACUGUCUGCUCUGGAUACCCCGCAUGAGAUAUAGACGUGACUAUAUGUAUGUAUUGGGUAUCAAAAAUGUUAACGGGGUUGACUAAUGUAAAGAAGUCGUACAGUAACAAAUUUUAUGAAUAUACAUGUAAAAUAAUGAAGUGGAAUAUUAUUAUUUUUUGCAGACGAACAAGAUAAUGUUAAAAUAUUGGAUUUUCCUAUCAUAUAAUAGUAAAAAAAAUUAACAUAUUUAUUCAUGAACGUUAUACGCAUAUGUUUUAUCUUACCUCUCUUUCUUUUAUUGGUUAACCUCAGAGAUAAAAAAAGGAAGAUGAGACAUAUGCGUUGUAACUUUAAUGCGGUACCGCUGCCAGUAGAGGGCGCUGUGUGUCAAAAAUUUAUACCAAAACAGUUAGUUCUCAAUACACGAACACAGAAAAUUAGCCGUUCUGUUUUUUAAAAUUCACGUUUUUGAAAGACGCGCUACUAGCGCCAUCUGAUGGCAAAUAAUGUCGCAUCGUCGCGUCGCAUGUCUAGUCGUAACGAUAGAAUUUGAGCUCUACAUACAUAAUUAUAUUAUAUAUUACAAGUUAUUGUAAAAUUUGCAUUCUCGCCGUUAGCGUGUGUGAUAUAAACAUUUAGCGUAGUGAUUUUUAUAUUGUUCGAGAACAGGUGUGACGUAAAUCUAUGUCUACAUAAAAAUGAAGUGAUCACAGGCGUUAGUCUCGAUUAAAGUCGGAAACGGCUAGGCCGAUCGGGAUAAAUCACAAUCCGGGAAAGUUUUAAGGUUGUUAAUUGGAUUGGUUCACGGAUUUGGAAAAAAACUAUUUUUGUAGUGUUGCCAUUAUUAUAAAAUUAUUUUCGUUGAGUGAGGGGUUGUGUGAAUUCAGUCGUUCACUAAUUUUGGGGUAGCUUGACGUGUGUAAUUCGUUAUCACUCAUUGUUAUCAAUGUUUUUAUCGUGUUAAUUUGUGUAGUAUUUGUUUUUAUGUCACACCAGUCUCCGUGAAACACGAUAUGUUUCGCCUUUUCGAGUCCAGUUACACUCGAAUCGACUCUUCAUCUUUUAAUAUCUAGAAAUGCCUUUAAUUCAGUUUUUUUCAUUUACAUAUUUAUCUAUAUAUUUAUGUACAUCAAGGAAAAUAAGGAUAAAACUUUAAGACAAAUUCAGUACAAGGGCACUACUAAUUUUCAGAGAAAUUUCCUCCAGUAGGCCCACAACAAUGAUUUUUUUUUAAUUACGACAACAGUGGCAAAUCUUAAGAAGUUAAUAUCCCUGGCGUGAAAAUGUCAUAUAAUUCUGAGAAAUGAUGAUGGCUUCGUCGAAAUGAGGACUAGCAAGACCAAGAUAAUUUGUACAUUUCUCAGAGGUACAUUAUUUUUAUGUGAAUAAUAUUGCGUCAAAUUUACGAACUAACAAUCAAUUAAAUUCUUUUCUUAAAACUUAUCCUCGCAUGAUGCAAAUUCGGUAAAGUUCUUAUGACUAUUUCCGCCUGGGGUAUAAAAAUAUCUUAACAUUUAAGCUUAACUUAGGUAGACUUGAAUUAUCCUUAUCAAUAUGCCUUUAACGAUAGCCGAUUUUAAUAAUUUGUUUAUUAAAAAAUAAAUAUGUAUUUUUUUUGUCUUUGGUACUGCUAUAAGUUUACAAAACAUGGGUUAUUUAAAAAAAAAUAACAUUAAGUUGGAACUAUAGAUACAUAGUAAACCUUCUUGGCAGUUGUCGACUCGUGUUAAGGUCAUAUAUAGUAUUAAAAAAAAUAACAAACUAGCGACGGUCGCUUUUUCAAUGUAAUACUAGCAUACUUUAUGUAACCGGAUGGAUGUAUUAAGGCUGGUGAUAAUUAUCCCCUAUAGCCUUGCUCGGGUAGAAUAAAGAUGGCUGACUCGGCCACGUAAUAUCUGAACUGAACAAAUUCCUCUCUCUCUCUCACUCCCGUAUCUCCGCAUGUCCCGGUUUCACCCUCCACAGAUCUUCCGACUUUUGAACUGAACAAAUUCAUCUGACCAUUCAUGAAUCUUUUAAAAUCAAGCAUGUUUAUAGCUCGUGAGGGGGUUGGGUCCGGAUUUCAAGUGCCAGUUAAUACAAGACAAACAAACUUUAUACAAAUGUACAUCUAUAUAUGUAUAUCUCUUUUGAAUAUUGACAUACAGAUAUUGCCUGUGACGCCAGCGCCACCUGUAUAUUUCUACGCGAGCAUGGCCCACCUCUAAAAGCCACCAAAUUUAUAGAAACCAGAGGCUAAGUGUAUGUAAAACGCUGUGGCUUGUAACAUACAAACUCUUACGAUACAAAAAUGUCGUUCGUAUCUCUCUUAGCCUCCGUUUUAUCUGGUGGAUUUUAAAGAGGUUUGUAGUUUAAGCUGAUAUAACGCCUUGUAAAUAUAAUUAUUUAUCUAUUAUAUGUAUAAAUAUAUAGUGAUCUCGGCCUGUCCCUCGGUAAUAUGGGUUAAUAUUGUCUCCUACACAAUACACGUUUAAAUAGUCUGUUGUUUUAAAAAUCCGACCAGUGCUUAUUAAAAUGUUUUUUAAUGUCCACAUGUACAUAAAAUGAACAUAAUAUCGUUUUUAUUGUAAAGAAAACACCACAUUAGAGUAUUGUGAUAAUUUAUUCAAGAUUUACAAGUUUUGACUUAUACUUUUUUAUCAAGGUAUAUUGAGAAUUGAAAUUAGUAAACGUCUCACAUUUUUUCAUUGCGAUUAUCGUUAUUUAUGUAUAUAUUGUAAAAUUUGGUAUAUAUUCAUUAUAUCAGUUAUAUCUAUAAGAAAAUACAGUAAUUCUAAAUCAAAAGUAAAUUAGUCAAAAAAGUAUCACAAUUAAUUUAUUUUUAAACUAGAUUGUGUUCGGUAUAUUUACAGUCGGACUGAUUACCAGUCAAGUGUGUUGUGUUGGAGACAUUUCUAGAAGAUUCGGUUUCUCCAUUAUUCAUCAUAUAUAUGUAUGUAGACGUUUAUAUAACUGCAGUACCCGGCCACAAAAGAAUGCACAUCGUAGCUUUGUAGAGCGGAUUAAAUCUGCCGCAGUCUUUUUAGCUGGGUACCACAUAUCAUUUUAUCGGUUUCAAAAAUCGACAGGGCAGGAACUAAGGCAAAGGGCUAGCCUAGCUCUUUUUAUGCUAAGGUAUUGUAAUAGCUACUUAUGUGUCCUAUUAUAAAUUAUUUAAUUUAAUAAUUGUAACACCGUGUAACUUACUCCUCAUUUUAAUUACGUAGGUUUAAUGAUUGUUUCCUGUGAAUGCAAUGUUUUAAUCUUGCGCAUAUUUUCAUUUGUCGCCGAGUACUUUUUAAGAUGUAAUUAACGUGACGAACUGAUUGUUUUAAAUUGUGUAUCUUGCACGCGUGUGCGCAAUGUUCUAUGUGUUAUCUGUGCAGAGGCGUGUGUUGCCUCAAAUCUCAUUACUACAAAUAUACAAAUAGUUCUUUCCAGCAAUAGGCAUAUAUAAAUAGAUAUAUCUACCUCUCGUUUGCACAUAGCUGUGCGAAUGGAACAGAAAAUGCCAAGUAUAUAAAUAUAUAUCAGACUUUGAUUAAAUAUUUGCUUAAAAUAAAUGAAAUUGAAAUAGUUAUAACGCAAUAAUAACAAAUUAAAGUGACAAUAAAUAUGCAUUAUUUUCGAUUUGUAGUUAUGACGUAUGAGUUAAGAUGCCUUUACCGUGACGAGCAUAGGCUUGAGAUCGUUUUGUCGAAAUCAAGAUAUAUCCUGUUCAAACUAGACAUGACUAAACAUCACGUGCAAUAUUAGUGAUCGUACAAUCUGUCAGUAUGCAGAUUUAAGCUUUGUUGCAUUUACAUAAGGUCAAUUCUCCCUUGACAGAUCGCGAUUGUCGCUCGGAGUAGUUCUCUUUUGUAUAGUGAAAUACCAAUUUUUAUUUGGUGUAAUUUUUUUUUCCUAGGAAAAGUCAUAUAUUUAUACGGGGUCUGUUUAAAGACUCGAUGACUUUGUGAUCUUAACGUGCAAUCCGCCAUUUUGUUUUAUUUGAGAACAUAAUGAUUGCUCAGUCUGAAGUGUUACGCAAUACGCAUCAACUUAAUUCCGAAAAGUUUAUAACAUUUGAUAAUGAUUUUGUCUUUACCGGCGAAAUUCUAAUUUCUAAACAUUAGGUCAAUUAUUACAAUAGUCAAGAUAGAAUGGAUUAUAUAAUCAAUCUAAAAACAAGCAGUCCAAUCGGAAAUAAGUUGAUGCGUAAAAUCUAUUCGUGAUGUUAUGAAUCGAUGUGACAAUUUUAUACAAUAAAUAUAUGUAGGUACCCACUAAAAGCCUAAAUUAUUUCUAGAGAAUAACUCUGAAUACAAUAUGCUUAAAGAUGAGACGUUGCGUCGUUUAUAAGUCUGACAAUAUAUGAAGUCAUUAGAUUAAUUUUUAAUUCAAAAUGUGGCGUUUCGUCUCAAUCUGUGAAUGUAAAAUAUGAAGAAGUUAAUUUUCAAGAAUUCAUUAAACGAUCGUUUUCAAUAGAUUUUGAGGCGAUCCCAAACAAAAGUAAUCGAUAAAUUUAUAGUUUUUAUUGUAUUAGAAAUGUUUUAAUCGAAUCAUAACAUCAGGUAAUACUUAACUAGAAGAAUUAUGGAUUAAUUAUCAAGUUUAUUGUGUCUAUUUAUUAUAGUGUUAGUUUUGCAUCGGGGCUGUUACUAAGUUAAUAAUCCAUUGUUUAAAAUGUUUCGUGAAUCAUUAAUUUUCACGCACUUUACGCGCAGUUAAUUAAAAAAAAAAGAACUGUAUUUAUAUUAAAAAUAGCAGUACGGUGCGUGGGGAUUUAAAAAAAAAAUGUAUCGUCGUCUCCUUAUUGUGCCUUCAUUUUAUAUUUACACGUCAAAUCACAUAGGGAAGGAAUUAUAAAAUUCUGAAUAUAGUAAGACCAUAGAAAUGGUUUAAUUCAACUCCAAUAAGGAUUCCGUAAUGCAUGUCGAUUCAAUUCAAAAACUGUCAAAAAUAUGCGGGCGUGCGAAAUAAUUAACAAGGCAUUUCUAUCAUCUUGUUUUAUUCAGAUUUCCAUAGGAAUGUUUUUCUUUUGUGCAGUUGUACGAGUAUUUACGUAUGAAACCAAUUAAAACAUAUUUGUUUACCGUGAACAUAAUAAAAUAGCAGUAAUGAUGUAUCCGCAUUUCUUCCUCAAAGCAAUAACAAGUUAGUGUAAAAUAAUGUUAAAUUAAUUUUGAUAAAGUUUUACAGUAUAGGUACCACCAUUAUUAUGUGCAUUAGCGAUCAUGUUAAAUGGCCAGCAUUAUUAUGAGCAUUAGUGAUCAUGUUGAAUGGCCAGCAUUAUUAUGAGCAUUAGUGAUCAUAUUAAAUGGCUAGCUUUUUGCGUUUGACGUUUACAGUUAUCAAGUCUCCGUGUAUAGCUAAUAGGGUUAUGUUUAAACAAAAGAUUUUAUAUAUAAAAUCUAUAUAUAAAUAGUAAAUACUAAAAUAUAAGUUAUCAAUUGCACUGGAAUGAUUUCUAACCAAUAUUGCUUGCGAAAUGUGUUGGCUACAUUUCAACUAUAUUUCAACUACCUUCUCAACACAAAAAGUUUUGGAUAUGUCGCAGAGCUAACUUAGUAAAAAUUGCCGUUUAAUUAAGCCAUUAAGUGGUUAAGUUGUUAAGUGGUUUCCAGCUAGACUUUUGUCUUAAGCCUUAUUGGGCUUCAAUAAAAAAAAGGCAAGCUGUAAACUUGAACAGUAAUUUUUUCCAAGCCGCAAACAUGUUGUACAAGAAUUUUGUAACAUAACUACUUAAAUUGAAUGCAAUAAUCAUGUAACUUAAUAUUGGAAAUGUUGACUUUUAUUUUGUAUUGCACAGUAGUUUGUUUGGUUUCAUGUUUAUCAUCUUUUAACUUAUUUAUACUGGUUUGAAUAUGAACCAAUCAAUUAUAUAAGAAUCCACAUUGGGUUGCAUAAUUUUUUAUUUAUUUAUUUAGGCCGUUUAGUUUUUUUUUUUUUUGAGUUUGAUUGAAUAAGGUUAUAUAGUAAUUUAUGCGAAACAAUGAUUAUGCCGAAAAAUCAAUACCAGCCAGCCAGUAUGUUUAAUGUAAUGGCGUGGCACUGUAGGGUUUAUUUGUCUAUAAUUGUAUUUCUGUAAUUCAUAGUGAAAUAUAUGUCUCGUCACAAUCAAUUCACAUUUAAAAUGAUAAGUUAAUAAGUUUUCAUUAGCAAAUUUUUGUUCUCUAAACUUAUUCAAUAUCUGUUCACAAUAUUUUUGAUAAUUUACAAGAGGAAAUGAGGCGUUAUGUUGUUAGAGACUUCUAGUAAGACUGUCGAUCGUUGUUUCAUCAAAUUAGCAGCGGUGAAUCAUUCUAUUUUUAUUAUUUGUAAAUUAAAAAAAAAACGUGUAUAUUUUAAAAUAGUUUUCACAAUGCAUAUUGUUGUUGAGUAUUUAACAAAGAUGUUUAUUUUGUUUUGUUUAAUAUUGUGAUAUCGUGGACGCUUCAUGUAUUGCAGGUUACUGUUUUUCACAUAAAAUGUAACAAGUUACAUCACAAUGGAGCCGCGCCCUGGGCCUCGAGUCUGCUAUUUCGUAUAUUUUCUUUUUAUUGUAUCAAUAAAAUUAAUCAAAAGUAACGAUACCUAUUUAAAACAAAAGGGUCACAUGAGAAAUCCCGCACAUUCUUUUUUUUUUACUAAAUAAUCCUUAAAUUGUGUACCUUAGAGUUUGCAAUAUCCCUUUUUUAUACGAACGAUUGACCGAAGCAUGUUAUUAACAAAUAAAAAAUAAUUUUCAAACCGGUUUUUUUCCAUUUUUUUUUCAUUAAACUUAAAAUUUCUUUCAUUAUUGUUCUUUCAAAAAAUUUUUAUUCAAAAUCUAUUUCAUAUUCGUUUAAGUAAUUUGAAACAUCAUGCCACUGUUACCUUAUUGACAUGUUGUUUUAAAAUUUCUUUGCUUAAUAAACAAAUAAAAUCAAUGUCAACGUCAUAGUAGACUCGACGCCCUCAGGGAGGGUCCUGCCUCGUCAGCUUCACUCACUAUUAUCGGAGGCGCAGGCCCCCGACGGCGUCUCGUCGUUGCAUUUGUUUAAAAAUGCACAUGAUUCCCCUUCGGUAUAAUUUAAAUACGUAUAGUCGAUAGUUGUUACUGUAGUUACGUGUAUACCUUAUCUAUAUUAUUGAGGAGCUAAGUCCGUGAUGUGAUUUUUAUGAAGUCAGUACAAGUAAUUUGAAUUUUUCAAAGAAAACCAUGUAACCCCCGCUUAGUUGUUGGGAUGUAUUUUAUAUAACUAAUGUGUGAUUACGCGGCGCUGUCCGCGGCCGUAGACGUAGAUCGGAAUGGACGGGCUGAUGCCCAGUUAGAAUGCAUUUUCCUACGCGAUACUUUGUUGCUUAAAUAGUUUUGUUUACUUGAUUGAUUAUUCUUUUACGAAAUAAAAAUGUUUUUUGUGGUAA